UACGUAGGGCGCAAGCGUUGUCCGGAAUUAUUGGGCGUAAAGCGCACGUAGGCGGAUUUGUAAGUCAGGGGUGAAAUCCCGGGGCUCAACCUCGGAACUGCCUUUGAUACUGCAAAUCUCGAGUCCGAUAGAGGUGGGUGGAAUUCCUAGUGUAGAGGUGAAAUUCGUAGAUAUUAGGAAGAACACCAGUGGCGAAGGCGGCUCACUGGCCCGGAACUGACGCUGAGGUACGGAAAGCGUGGGGAGCAAACAGG
rnacentral:rRNA from 1 species